rnacentral:tRNA from 1 species
GCAUCAGUGGUUCAGUGGCAGAAUUCUUGCCUCCCAUAGUGGGAGACCCAGGUUCAAUUCCUGGCCAAUGCA